AACGAACGCUGGCGGCAGGCUUAACACAUGCAAGUCGAACGCCCCGCAAGGGGAGUGGCAGACGGGUGAGUAACACGUGGGAACCUUCCUCAUUGUACGGAACAACUCAGGGAAACUUGAGCUAAUACCGUAUACGUCCGAGAGGAGAAAGAUUUAUCGCAAUGAGACGGGCCCGCGUCGGAUUAGCUAGUUGGUGGGGUAACGGCCUACCAAGGCGACGAUCCGUAGCUGAUCUGAGAGGAUGAUCAGCCACACUGGGACUGAGACACGGCCCAGACUCCUACGGGAGGCAGCAGUGGGGAAUCUUGGACAAUGGGCGCAAGCCUGAUCCAGCCAUGCCGCGUGAGUGAAGAAGGCCUUCGGGUUGUAAAGCUCUUUUGUCAGGGACGAUAAUGACGGUACCUGAAGAAUAAGCCCCGGCAAACUUCGUGCCAGCCGCCGCCGUAACAC
rnacentral:rRNA from 1 species